AAACAAAAAAGCUUAUUAACUCUGUGUUUUUUCCUUUCUCUCUUUCUCUUUCUUGUGUUCCUGUUCUUGCUUUUGGUAGUCUAAUUAUUGGUUUUCCUCUUUUUCUUUUGUAUUUUUUUUUUGAAACGCCAUUUUUCAAAUCUUUUCCUUUGAAUUUCUGAUCCAUUCAGAGUGCUGAAACAUAUUCAGAACAUAUAUGUUUCAGCAAGCAAAUAUUUAGGGAUGGGUUUACAAGGAGCUACGUCAGGCAUGGAGGAUGCCAAAGAGCAAAUUGUACAGGAGUCCAAAAAUUCCACGCUACCAUCUCAAGAUGAGAAAAAUCCCUUCAUCCCUGGAAGAGAGAUACCUCCUGAUGCACAAGAUCAAAUACAGAGAUUUUAUCAUUACUGAAGCAAAGAGAAGAAGUGUGAAUGGAAAAUAUUCUUAUUGCUAGCUUUUUACUUCAGCAUGAGUUGUCAGAUAAUGCCAUAGCUAGUUGCAUUGAAAAUGAAGAGGAUGUUUUGUCAUUUGGGGAUGAAGAUAUGGUUUCGGUUGAUCAGGAAAAUGAAGAAUUUCAGGACUGUGAGGUUCGUGCUGAGGGACAUGAAGGAACCCCUCAUGAAGCUCUUAUUUUGGCGCUUGGCUAUUUGGGUGUGCGGGAUCUUUUUGUUAUUGAGAAUGUUUGCACAUCUCUGUGAUCUGUAGUUCAGAAUGAUCCUCUUUUAUGGAGGGAUAUUCACAUAAAUCCGCCACUGAAUGAGAAGAUUACGGAUGAUGUUCUUUUACAAAUAACUGCUAGAGGCCAAGGAAGCUUGCAAUGCUUGAGCCUGGUUGAUUGCCAAAGGAUUACUGAUGAAGGUCUUAAGCAUGUCGUUGAAAAUAAUCCAAAGCUAAUCAAGCCAUGCUUCCAAUAAUGUGUUAGAUGGGCUGAACAUGUUUGAUGGAACUGAUGCUCAUUACUUCCACACGGGGUCAAGGGGUCACCACUCGGUGUGGGAUUCUCGCCUUUUUAAUUAUGGAAGCUGGGAAGUAUGUACUUCUACCUAAACAUUUCUUAAUGAAUAGCUUGUUUAAAGAUUUUGGCUUCCUCCCUUCCAGUUGUAAAUAUUAUUUUCUUAGUUGUUGCUUUAGGUAUUGAGGUAUCUUCUUUCAUAUGCAAGAUGGUGGCUGGAGGAGUAUAAGUUUGAUGGGUACAUAUUUGAUGGUGUGACUUCAAUGAUGUACAAGAUUUCAUUGAUUAAGUAAAUGUAUUAUUUAUUUGAGUAAGAAAAUGCAUUGUAUGUUUUAUUACCUUGCAUAUGUAUUAUUUAUUUUAGUUUUGAUUCUAAAUUUUUAUUUUUACUUAAGAGUUCUAA